AGAGGGAUCCCCCAACCUGCUUGGCCAAACAUGUUGGAAAGGGGCUUUGGAUGUUGGAGUUCUUAGAAAUGUCAAAUUCUUAGAUCUCACCGGUAAGUUUGUUGAGCCAUGGAUUGAGUGAGAAAAGCAUUCAAUUGGUCAUUUAAUGAGAGAGUAAUUUGUAAGGAUCAUGCACAUAUAUACUUAGUCUUACAUUAGCUAUACACUGGAUAGAUCUUAAAUACUUAUAUAGAU
rnacentral:lncRNA from 1 species